CCUACGGGAGGCAGCAGUGGGGGAUAUUGGACAAUGGGGGAAACCCUGAUCCAGCGACGCCGCGUGAGUGAAGAAGUAUUUCGGUAUGUAAAGCUCUAUCAGCAGGGAAGAAAGAAAUGACGGUACCUGAGUAAGAAGCCGCGGCUAACUACGUGCCAGCAGCCGCGGUAAUACGUGGGGGGCAAGCGUUAUCCGGAAUUACUGGGUGUAAAGGGAGCGUAGACGGUGAUGUAAGUCUGGAGUGAAAGGCGGGGGCGCAACCCCCGGACUGCUCUGGAAACUGUGUAACUGGAGUGCAGGAGAGGCAGGCGGAAUUCCUAGUGUAGCGGUGAAAUGCGUAGAUAUUAGGAGGAACACCAGUGGCGAAGGCGGCCUGCUGGACUGUAACUGACGUUGAGGCUCGAAAGCGUGGGGAGCAAACAGGAUUAGAUACCCCAGUAGUC
rnacentral:rRNA from 1 species